GCAAGAACCUUACCAAGGCUUGACAUGCACGGGAAUGUCGUGAAACACGGCAUGCCCUUCGGGGCUCGUGCACAGGUGGUGCAUGGCUGUCGUCGGCUCGUGUCGUGAGAUGUUGGGUUAANUCCCGCAACGAAGCGCAACCCCUAUCCUAUGUUGCCAGCGUGAAAGACGGGGACUCAUAGGAAACUGCCGGUGACAAAUCGGAGGAAGGUGGGGAUGAGGUCAAGUCAUCAUGCCCCUUAUGUCUUGGGCUACAAACGUGCUACAUUGGCCGGUACAAAGGGCUGCAAACCUGCGAGGGUGAGCGAAUCCCAAAAAACCGGUCUCGGUUC
rnacentral:rRNA from 1 species